rnacentral:rRNA from 1 species
AGUGAACGCUGGCGGUAGGCCUAACACAUGCAAGUCGAACGGCAGCACAGUAAGAGCUUGCUCUUACGGGUGGCGAGUGGCGGACGGGUGAGGAAUACAUCGGAAUCUACUUUUUCGUGGGGGAUAACGUAGGGAAACUUACGCUAAUACCGCAUACGACCUACGGGUGAAAGCAGGGGAUCUUCGGACCUUGCGCGAUUGAAUGAGCUGAUGUCGGAUUAGCUAGUUGGCGGGGUAAAGGCCCACCAAGGCGACGAUCCGUAGCUGGCCUGAGAGGAUGAUCAGCCACACUGGAACUGAGACACGGUCCAGACUCCUACGGGAGGCAGCAGUGGGGAAUAUUGGACAAUGGGCGCAAGCCUGAUCCAGCCAUACCGCGUGGGUGAAGAAGGCCUUCGGGUUGUAAAGCCCUUUUGUUGGGAAAGAAAAGCAGCAGGUUAAUACCCCGCUGUUCUGACGGUACCCAAAGAAUAAGCACCGGCUAACUUCGUG